UAUACAUAUUACACAUCUUCUUUAUCCAUUCAUCUAUCGAUGGACACUUAGGUUGCUUCCAUAUUUUGGUUAUUGCAAACAAUGUUUCAAUAAAUAUAGGGAUGCACACAACUUUUCAAAUUAGUGUUUUCAUUUUCUUUGGGUAAAUACGCAGUAGUGGAAUUAAUGAAUAUCUAUUUUUAAGUUUUUGAGGACCCAUAACACUUUUUUGACAAUAGCAUUAUAUUCAGGCCUUAUAAAAUGAAUGGGACAGCAUUACUAUACCAGGCUUAUAAAAUUAAUAACUCAAUACCAGAUGAUGGGGGAAGGCUUUAUUCAAACAAUUUUAUAUUACCAUUAAUAAAUUCGAUAUAAAAUAUAAACCACGUUUUUUACAUGACAUGACUUAAGGAACUACCAAGGUAAUGUUGCAUCUUUUCCCCGAAAGCUCUUUUCCUGAAUAUUUACCUCUGUGACCUUUAUGUUUAUUUCUAGGUAAAAACUGUGUUUCGAUGGUGAAAAUAGCUUUCAAGUCCAUGAAUGAGGACACAUGUGUACUUUUUUGUACACCUUUCCAUUUAUCAGAAAUAUAAGAGGGUGAGAAAAUUAUACACAGAAAAACUAUAUAUCAGCAAAUUUUAAUUCAAAGAACACUUUUAAAGAAUUUUUAAUUAGAAGAAUUUUCUCAUUACUGUUAGCAUUCAAAUAUGGCCCAUAGAAAUCUAAGGUUCGGUUGGGGACACUGCAGGAUUGAGGGACAAGGAAGUCACAGCCAUAGUCUCCAUCUCUCCUUUAGUUAGACAGCUCUACUUCUCUCUGUUUUACACAAUAGAGUUUAAUGCAAAAAAAAUUAUGUUCUAUUCUUUGAAAAAAAAUUAUUUUGAAGGUAUAAAAGUCACUAAUUUAGUCAAAAUCCCGAAUUUUGCGUAAUAGACAAAAAGGGCUCAGAGAGUGUACUUUGCCUGAGGUCAUGGAACCAACUAGAUGCAGACCAGGAAUACACUUCUGGUCUUACCAAGCCUAGAGUUCUAUGCCAGUUACUUCCUCAUAGUCAGGGAAAAGAUGUAUAUUUUAAGUAUAACUCAGAGAAAAUGAAUACAUAAAACUCUGUCAUGUGGCUCAAUAAUGUUUAGGUAUGAGGCACACAAUAGUAGCUCUCUAACUAAAUUACAAAUUUUAAAGUCAUGAAUAAAAAGAAAGGAACAGAAAUUAUGUUAACUCCUUUUAGUAGCAGUCAAUUUUUAAGCACAACUUUUUUAAACGACAGGACAGAGAACUUGAGAGAGAAAAUCUUCAGGUGAAGCAAGCAAGCUGAAACUGAGGAAAUUCUUCCUGAAAGAAUGAUUUAUUUCUUCCAAAGAAAUUUGGUUUCUCAAAAUCAAUCAACAAAUGAGUGAACCCAUGGUGUGGUUAUUUAUAGCAAAAUUUAAAACCCAACAGAUUUCUCUUUCCCAUCUAGCAUGCUUCUGUCUAACCUCUCAUCAUUAGUUGGUAUGUACAAAGGACACAAUUCACUUUAUUUAUAAUUGAAAUCCAGUCAGAAAUAAUAGGUGAACCUUCACUUCUCACAUUUGGACUUCUCUCUCUCUCCCUCCCGACAGGAAGGGAGACUUACCUAACGGGUGAAUUUGGGAGAAGGAGCUAAGCAGUGCUUAUGUGUUUCUGAGUCUCCUCUUUGAAAAGAUGUGCCUGCCCACAGUAACAUGAAUUUGGGUCUGCUCUCAGCUCUGUGGAAGAGAAGAGCAGUGUUACUUGUCGCCUACCCAGUGUCACCUGUCACAGCUCCACCAAGAAAAAUGACUAGACAACACUUACAGAAACAUUCUCUUCUUCCUUGACUUCAUAACUAAUGUACAUUGUUCAAAAGCAACGCCCACUCAAAAGAGAGAAAAAGUUGAAAGAAACCAUUUUAGAAACAAACAUAGAAAGUCAGACAAACUGAGGACACAGAGGAAUACCUUCCAAAUGAAAGAACAUGACAAAACCUAAGGAAAAAAAAAAACUAACAAAACUAAGAAAAAAAACUAAGAAAAAAAACAGAGAUAAGAGAUGAGUUCAAAGUAAAGGUCAUAAAGAUGCUCAGUGAACUUGGGAGGAGAAUGAAUGGAUCCAGUGAUGACAUCUACAAAGAGAUAGAAAAUAUAAAAAAGAACCAAUCAGAGCUGAAGGAUACAAUAACAGAAAUGACAAAUACACUAAGGGGAAUCAACAGCAGAUAAGAAGAUGCAGAAGAACAGAUCAACAAUUUGCAAGACAGGGUAGUAGAAAUCAUCCAAGCUGAAAAACAAAAAGAAAAAAGAACUUUAAAAA